rnacentral:rRNA from 1 species
AUGAAAAAAGAGCAUGGUGGACUUGGGGUCCCCAAUAUUAAGGACCUCAAUCUAUGUCUAUUAGGUAGCUGGGUCAAAAGGUAUGCCCAAGUUUGCCAGGGGGUUAUGUGGGCUGCUAAGGCUCUCAAAUUUGGCUAUAGAUGGGUGGUGGGAAAUGGGAGGAAAACCAGAUUCUAGGAGGAUAUCUGGUUUGGCACCUCCCCCCUCUCUGUCCAGUUCUGGCCACUCUAUGCUAUCUGUCAUCAACAAUGUGUGACAGUUUCAGAAGUUUGGGAUGGGGAGAUGAUCAAACUUACAUUUAGGAGGGUUUUUACCUCUUCUAUGAUGGAAGAGUGGUACCAUCUUGAGCAAAUUAUUAAAGAAACUACCCUCACUGGGGAGGAUGAUGCUAUGAUCUGGCAGUAUUAAUCCAAAGGGGUUUACUCUUCCAGAUCACUUUAUGCCAUCAUUAACUUCAGAGGGGUGAAACUUGUCUUCAUUCCUUCAGUUUGGUCUAUUGUAGUGCCACCCAGAGUUCAGGUCUUUCUCUAG